AAUAUUACAACUAGAUAAGUUCAAAGGACAGUUGUCAAAAUUUAUCCUCUUAAAAGUAGAGCUAUAGAGGGCUUUGGGAUAGUUUUUGCCCUUUUAACUUCAAAUAGAGUUCAAACCCAACCAUGAAGACGACUCAUUGGCUGUGUCCAUUAUAGCUUCAAUACUUAGAACAAUUUACCCCAGAUUUUAGAAGGCAAAAGCAUAAGGCUGCCGAUAAGUUAAUCAUCUAGGGAAAAUGAGUGUCCCAAAAAAUCAGAUUGGAGCAACCAAUUAAUAGCUCUAUCAAUCACAUGUAUAUUCUGCCAGAAGCUGGAAUGUAAGAUUAGUUGAUGGAACUCUGAUUUUGUAAAUUCAAAAUUUGCGGUUAAACCUUUCAAAUACCACAUUUAGAGAUAAUCAAAUUAUCCUUAGACUUAAGCAAACGGCUAAAUUGUCCAAGUACAGAGCAACAAGACCACUCUUUUUUGUGCUCUAACUUUGAAUAGAAGAGGGCAAGGAAAUAAAAUAACUUCCAGCACUAGAUUCCCAGUAAUAUAUUUCUUUCUCGUGCCAUUAAAAACACAAAAUCCUGGUAUUACAAAACGCACCUUGUUACCAUGUGUCAUUAUGACCCAGAUAUUCUUUAAGAUGGGCCUCAUGCUCGUCAGGAGAAAUCUGUUUAUCUUUCCACAAGUUUUCAAGCGUUCUUGUCCCUCGAAUCUUUGAUGUGGUUUCAUGAUAAAGCUUGCAAACAUAUCUCGUCCCAACAACAUGAUUUACAACACCAACAUCAUUAGCAAAAUUAUGGGGUUUCAAAAGAUGGUUCAGAUUCCCAAUAUUCUUUCUUGAUUUCUUAGUUCCUCAAGUAAUCCGAAUUUCAAUUUUAAUUAGAUCUUCCAUCAUAUCGACCUGGACUGCCAGAAUCAUAACUCCUGACACUAACAGAUUUUGUAGUUGAGUUUCCAUCUCUAUCAGGACUUUCAGGUUUCCACCGAUCCUGCUCAUUAAUUUCUUUAAUGGAUUUGUAUCUUGAAUCAUGAUCAAACAUGUAUCUUCCAUUACAUGGGUCCACGAUUUUUCUGGAAUUCAAACUCUCUUCAUGAGAAUUUGUUUCAUUGCUUUCUCUGCCUGAAUAGCUUCUUCUGCUCGAAGGACAAUCCAAUGGAUUUCUUUUUAGGUGAGAUUUGCCCAUUUCAAUCUCCUCACAGUAAGACUUUUCUUUCAACCGCUUCGCAGUUCUCCCUUCUUCAUCUGAAAUCUCUUGUUCAAUUUUCUUCGAGCGCCUCCUUUUAUGACUAUGAUGUCUUUCCUUGUCUAACCACUCAUCAUUGGAAUCAGAAUCAUAAGUCCUGUACCUAUCAUCCCAAUGAUCAUCUGUGAAAUCAGAGAAAUUGCUCUUAUGUCUUGAACUUUUCCUUGCAGGAUGAUCAUGUCUGCCUUUGUUUUUGUCUCUGUAUGACAAAUCUUCCACGGAACCAGUACCAAGAGUUACAUCUCCACGAUAAUCUGUGGACCUUACCUUGCUCUGGUGUCUUGAGCUUCUCCCCCUAUGGUGUUUUUCUCCAUCUCUGUCUCUAUCCAACCUGUAUCCAUCCAUUGCAUGAGAUUCAUUCUUCCUCUCUCUAUUAUCAUCCAGCAAUGCCUCUUUUUCCCAGAUUUCUGAACUUUUGGUGUGCACCUGGUGUGUUUUUCUUUUUCUGCUCCCACCAGACCACUCAUUGGAAUCAGCCUCAUGAAUCCUCCGCUUGCUCUUCCCACUAAAACGAUCAGUGGAGCAUUCUGACACUUCACCAUGGUCUUUUGACCUUUUUCUCACAUGACUACCAUGCUUAUUUUGUUUUCUGUCCAAGUUAAUGUCCCUAUCCGACCAACUUCCAUCAGAAUCAGAAUCAUGACUUCUGUGAUCACUAUUAUAAUAAUCCUUUUCGCAUGAUUUUUUGUCAAGGUUUCUAAUUUGUUUCCGAUCAUCAUCUGCACACCUGUGCCAGCGAGCGCCUUGUUGAACCCUAUCUUCACUGUCACUGCUUUUACCAGAAUAAGGGAGCAAGUGAUCUAUGUCCCUGGAUCUAGAUCUUUCACGAUGCCUGUCUGUGUCCGCUGGUAUUGUCUUGCUAGACGUCCUUGUAUGCUCAAAUUUUUCUUUGUCCAACCUGUAUUCAGAUUUAUCAGAGUAACCAAAUAAAGCAGCCAUCUUUUUCACCCAAUAUCUAGGAGGUGGUUUAUCCCAAUCAGCCCAUUCAUAGUCCCCACCAGGAUUACGGAAACAGUGGAUAAAAUUGCAAGCCGUUCCAUGAGAACAUGUCUUGAGCC
rnacentral:misc_RNA from 1 species